UACGGGGGGGGGCAAGCGUUGUUCGGAAUUACUGGGCGUAAAGGGCUCGUAGGCGGCCAACUAAGUCAGACGUGAAAUCCCCUCGGCUUAACCGGGGAACUGCGUCUGAUACUGGAUGGCUUGAGAUUGGGAGAGGGAUGCGGAAUUCCAGGUGUAGCGGUGAAAUGCGUAGAUAUCUGGAGGAAUACCGGUGGCGAAGGCGCAUCCUGGACCGGCAUUGACGCUGAGGAGCGAAAGCCAGGGGAGCAAACGGG
rnacentral:rRNA from 1 species